rnacentral:lncRNA from 1 species
ACUUUCCCCGCAGCAGGCGUGUGCUGCUGUUACUGGUCUUUGCCACUUUGAUUGAGAGCACGGAGGGAUUUUUCCACGCCACAACUCUGCUGGAUCUCCUGAAGACCAGGCAGACCCAACGACACUAGACAGACGGACUGGGGAUUUCUCCAUCACUGUUGCACAUAAGAAGAGUGGUGAUAGGAAGAGUGGACACAGCAGUGUUCAUACCAGGCACUGUCCUGGAGCCAGUGAUGCCAGAGGGAGCAAGCCUCCUACCCUACAAAACUCAUCUCCUGUGACCUUCUAGCCUGAGUCAAGCUGGGAUCGUCAUUGCUCUGUGUGGGCAAGGUUACAUCACAGCUUGGCAGGGUCUGCGGUGCAGGAGAUGGAAGAAGAGAAGACGGCAGCAAUAAAGCAAUUUCUACUGGUUAAAUAGCUUCCUGCCACUGCCUAGGAAUAAGUCAGUGGCCAAAUAAGGGAAUGGACCUUGAAGGAGGGUCGUCGUAAUGCAAUCUAAUGUUUUAGCAAGGGAAAGAAGAUCUCUGCUGCUAUCAGAAUGAGUUGUGAAAGUUCUUAUGAGGAGGAGGAAAUGGUUACUGCAGGAGACUCAUCACUGAUGAAACUGGAAUAGGUUACUCUUUCUGUAAUGGGGGUACUAUUUCUGUAGUAUGGUAGCCCAAUGCUCACUCACUCAAUAAAGGACUAUACAAAUACCAGCUGA